UCUCCAAGUGAUUUCGCGUCAAUCCGACCUCUGUAGCUUAAGAUAUUUGCGUUUUAGUGACUGUCGUUAAGGCUGUACAGUACCAGCGAGUAAAUUAGUUUGUUUCCUUCUAAUUCCGAAUUGGAUUAUGAAAUUACUUAAGAGGGCUUAAGUUUUUAAUUAGAUUCAGGUCUGAUUAAGUUAUUGGGUCAAGGGUUUGACUUGGAGCGGGCUCAAGAGAAAAGAAAAGAAACCCAAACCCAUGAUGAGGGGGAGCCCGCGGUUGUAUUAGGGUUCUGAAGGGGGGAAAAAUUUCUUUUCCUUUCAGUUCUGAAACAGAAACCCUUGCACUCCUUACGUAAAGAAAACAGAAGAGAAAAGAGUGAGAGAACCACCCCUUGAACCCUUAGCCGCCGCCGACCAAACCACCACCGCAACCCGUGACGCCGCGCGAGUGAGAGAGCCUUGCGAGAGGGAGAGGAUUCGCGUGGAGGAGGAGAAGAGGGACGUGGACAGCAAGCAACUGAGUUCUGAACCUACAUCUUUUCUCUUUUUCAGACCAAGAACCCAAGAUGGUCGUGAAGAUAAUGGCGAUGACUCAUUCUUGGGAGUUGAUGCUACGUGACGUGCCAAUACUGGAGGACGACUACACUUUAGAGGAAGAGGAAGAGGCUAAGGAAUAGGGUUUGGGUUGAGAGUCUUUUGUUUUCUGUUGGGGUUGAGAGUUUCCGAAGUGUUGGUAUCGAACAAUUUUAUUGCUUAAAUUCGAAUGAACAAGUUUUGAUGUAAUCUUUAUUUUCAUUCAGGCCUUUGUUUCGUACUCUUUACAGUUGGUUAUUUAAAAAGUUUUACGAAGUUGGUUA